CCAUCUGGAAGAAUCUGGAGACAGGUGCUGCAUGGCUGUCGUCAGCUCGUGUCGUGAGAUGUUGGGUUAAGUCCCGCAACGAGCGCAACCCUUGCCUUUAGUUGCCAGCAGUUCGGCUGGGCACUCUAAAGGGACUGCCGGUGUUAAACCGGAGGAAGGUGGGGAUGACGUCAAGUCCUCAUGGCCUUUAUGACCAGGGCUACACACGUACUACAAUGGCCGAUACAAAGGGCAGCGACACUGCGAGGUGAAGCCAAUCCCGUAAAAAUCGGUCUCAGUCCGGAUUGGAGUCUGCAACUCGACUCCAUGAAGUUGGAAUCGCUAGUAAUCGUGGAUCAGCAUGCCACGGUGAAUACGUUCCCGGGCCUU
rnacentral:rRNA from 1 species